GUGCUCGCUUCAGCAGCACAUAUACUAAAAUUGAAACGGCACAGAGGAGAUUAGCAUGGCCCCUGCACAAGGAUGACAUGCAAAUUCGUGAAGCAUUCCAUAUUAAA